rnacentral:lncRNA from 1 species
UUUCAGAGAAAAUUCAUAAACGAAAAAGAAAAAAAAAAAAAAGUACCAACUUUUCUUUGUAGGAAAAGGUGGAACAACAUUAAGGUUAUUACAUGCUCUUCAACUUGUAUAGGUUUGUAGACUAGGUUGAUCGAUGUAUAGUGAACUAGAAAACUUCUGCACACCGAACUACAUGUUUAGAGUGGAAGUAUCAGAAAUAAUCCCCUAAAUCACAUGCUCUGUAUUUUUUAUCAUCUCAACAUGCUAAUUCCAGACUAAAAGCCCAAGGAACAUUUAAUGUUUUCACAUAUGAUGUGUAGUAGUGUUUGUAUGUGCACUAUGGAUAGAAGCCACCAUGAAACCAUAAGCACUACCUUUGUUCCUCUUUCACAAGAUUAAGAGCGAGCCCCUCAACCGGCCCAGUUGUACUGUCCUUAACUGCAAAUAUAGUCUGAUCAAACUCCUCUGGAGCUCCCUAAAGAGAAUAUCACUCCAGCAGAUCCCGUCCAAUCUGUUCCAACAGAUUUCAUUCCUUCCAUCAGUCCCAUGAAAUCAG